rnacentral:tRNA from 1 species
GGAGGGGUGCGGGAGCGGUUUAACCGGCUGGUUUCGAAAACCAUGCGGGGCGAAAGUCUCACGAGAGUUCAAAUCUCUCCCCCUCCGCCA